CAAAGUUUGAACUUCGUGAUCGAAUGACAUAAAACUGAUAUGUCAACUCUAGCAUUUUCGUCCUUGGUCGCGUAAUUUUGAAAACGGGUGUAAUGAGGUAUGAACUAAUGGCGGCUGCUUAAAGCGCCAUUUGUAAUCAUAAAAUGGUAAUAUGAGGAAGACAUAGUAUGCUUCUGUGUUUGGAUGCAUUUGAAAAUAUUUCAUAUUUUGUAAGUACAUGCAAGCUCAUGGAAAUUUGUUUGUAAAAAAUACCGCAUGAACGGCAGUGUUAUAUAAGAUGUACAAACACGAGCCACAGGCAAGUGCCUGUUACAUACAACAGAGAACGCGUCAUCAUACUGAUUUAGAAAUGACAGAGCUAUCUAUGCAAUAUAAAAAUAGUUUAGUUUAGGUUUCCUCUUGUAGUAACACUAGAUCAAUAUAAGAGAUGACCCUUAUUUGACCUCUAGGGAAAACAAAUUCCUGAGAAAAAGAAGAAUACGUUCACAGCAAAUAUGAAUAUCAGAUUGAGAGAAUAAUAAGAUUCCAUCCUCGAGCGACUUCUUUUCAAGAAUUAACUACAUUGAAAUAACACGAAUACCGUUGUGCGUUACACGUCGAAUACAUGCAGGAGCAAUAUUUUUGAAGAGUAUUAUUGCGCUGCAGUCGCACAAGGUGGCCACACCUGUGUUUCAUUUAUGACAAUGACACAGUUAAGCGCCAGGCAAACGAGAAUGAAAGUUGAUGAGACAUACAGAAGGAACAAGAAGCAGUCGAUUCUGCCUCCUUUUCAGAAUUUACUCUACAUGAUAAUGUAGAUGAACUGAGCCCUUUUUUGUAUUUUAAGAUAUUUUGGGAUAACACUAUUACUGAAAAUUUUGUUAAACAAACAAACAGGCAGCAGAUACAGGGUGCGAUAAUUCAAUAUUUUUAGUCGUACCUGACUGGUACUCCGACAACUUUUGCCGCGUACCUGGUCUGGCACAAACUUAAGAGUCAAGACGUACCUAAGACU
rnacentral:lncRNA from 1 species